GUGCUGGUGAACUCCGGUUUCCCCAAAGCAGCUCCACCCAGGUACUUCAGAUAGUGAUGCUGGAAGUUGGCAGCAAGGACAAGCCAGAGAGCUCAGAAAGAGGGAGUCAGCGUCCCAGGUCCUUAUCUGGGCUCUGCUACUGUCAAGCUGGAACAAGCAGUCUCCGUUUACUCAGAGAUCAAGGUCAAACCAAGCAAACGUCAUUCUGGAUGGAGCGGGUGGCCGAUGCUGUCAUUGCUCAGCCCCUACCCCCCUGGCAUGUCACUAUCGUGGUCCUUUACUCUCAACAGCCAGCGUCUGCCCCUGUUUGUCGGAGGACAGGCCUCAGGCAGCAGGAACUCUCACUGCCCAGAGAGCCUGGGGGGCCAGAAGCACCUGGGAGGCUAAGUCCCCACCCUGACUGGCAGGAGUGAGGCAUGGACACUUCAGCUCCCCUGCCCCAAUCAGAAAACCCAGAGGAUGGGCCAUAGUGGACAGAAUCCAGCAAGUACACGUCUCUUGCUGGCUUUGAAGAAGCAAGCUGUGAUGUCCUGAGCUCCCCUUGGCAAGGCCCACGUGGAAGACCUGAACGUAGCUCAGCCUGUAGCCUGCAAGGAAUGGAGUCCUGCCAACAUAUACGUAAGCUUGGAAGUGGGUCCUUCCCCAUCAGGCCUUUGGAUGAGACCUCAGCCCUGGCUGACACCUUGACUGC